AGAGUUUGAUCCUGGCUCAGGAUGAACGCUAGCGGCAGGCCUAAUACAUGCAAGCCGAACGGUAAUUCAAGUAGCAAUAUUUGGACAAGAGUGGCGUAAGGGUGCGUAACACGUAUGCAAUCUACCCGCAACAGGAGGAUAGCUCCCCGAAAGGGGAAUUAAUACUCCAUACAAUCAUUUGAGGGCAUCUGAGGAUGAUAAAACCUACGGGGGUUGCGGAUGAGCAUGCGUCUGAUUAGCUAGUUGGUAGUGUAACGGACUACCAAGGCGAUGAUCAGUAGGGGAACUGAGAGGUUGAUCCCCCACACUGGCACUGAGAUACGGGCCAGACUCCUACGGGAGGCAGCAGUAGGGAAUAUUGGACAAUGGGUGCGAGCCUGAUCCAGCCAUGCCGCGUGCAGGAAGACGGCCUUCUGGGUUGUAAACUGCUUUUACCUGGGGAUAAAAAGCCCAUGCGUGGGAAACUGAAGGUACCAGGAGAAUAAGCCACGGCUAACUACGUGCCAGCAGCCGCGGUAAUACGUAGGUGGCGAGCGUUGUCCGGAUUUAUUGGGUUUAAAGGGUGCGUAGGCGUCCCGGCAAGUUUCAGGUGAAAUGCUCGAGCUCAACUCGAGAACUGCCAGAAAAACUGUUGGGAUUGAGUGCUAGCGAGGCAGGCGGAAUUGACGGUGUAGCGGUGAAAUGCAUAGAUAUCGUCAAGAACACCGAUAGUGAAGACAGCCUGCCAGGGAGCCACUGACGCUGAGGCACGAAAGUGUGGGGAUCAAACAGGAUUAGAUACCCUGGUAGUCC
rnacentral:rRNA from 1 species